UGAUAAGGUUUGGGUGGAGGAACCCUUGGUGCUGCCAGAAACAAGCCCCAGGGGGAAGAAACCACUUCUGUGGCUCCUGGCACAGCCUCGGGUAAGAAAGGAUCCUGGGGACUCGAGAGCCAUGGUUCCUAGAUGGAAUGGGGGAAAAGGUCAACUGAGAGUUGUCGCAUUCCCUGACAGCACAUAGCCCACCCAGAUCUUGCCCCUGUUACCCACGAGCAUGCUGACAGCCUCCCUGCGCUUCCCCAGACUCAUUUUCUGCCUGGCCAGCAUCUCGGGACAAGCAUGGAUUCUACUGCACUGUGUCAUUUAUUCCUGUUGCUUCUCUUUCCAUUCCAAACCCACAAGAAGGAAAUAAAUGCAAACCCAGCCCCCUACCUUGA